UGGGCCUGCUCGGUGAUUAAUAUUUUAACAGCUGCGGUAUUAUAACUGUACUAAGGUAGCAUAAUAAUUUGCUCUAUAAAUUAGGGCUAGAAUGAAUGGUUUGACGAGAAUUAAACUGUCUCUACUUUAUUUGUUAGAAAUUAAUUUUUAUAGUGAAAAAGCUUGGAUGGUUUAAAGGGACGAAAAGACCCUAUUGAGCUUGUGUUAAUAAAUAAAUACUANNNUAUAUAUAUNNNNNNNNNAUAUAUAUAUAUAU
rnacentral:rRNA from 1 species